GCUAUACCUUCUUAGUAGCUCUCAUGAUUACAGGAAAAACUCUCUGAAUCUGAUAUGUGGCCUGUAACAUCUAAUGCAACAUCUCCAACAGAUUCAAGCCUAAUUCUGAAAUAAAUCUAAAAGUGGGAAGUCUACAAAACCCUGUCCCUCACAAAAAACUUUUCCUUGAAACAUAUGUAAUCUACAACUUGGUGGAUUAUAUUUUCUAGAUUUCAUUUUUUCAGAAUGCAAAGCUGAGAAAUCCAGGUGAAUUUCACAUUCAAUCAUAUGGUGUCAUCUAAAGUCAUAAAUGAUGUCAAUCUAUUUGGCGUGCAUCUGUCACCAUGAUUAAAGUCCACUGGCCUCAGGAGGAUGGAAACCUUUAGUUUUAGCAGCAUGUGUUUUAUUAUGCCGUUGACUUCUGCGCUGCAAGCAUUAGUAACCUACGACCAUUAAGUCUGCAAAACAAGCUGUGAUGAUUGUUCUCUGUUUAUCCAAAUACAUAUGCAAUCACACAUGAUCCAUUCUCUCAUUGAUGUUUUGUCCAACUAGAUUGCCAAAGUGUUUUAUCAAAAUCAUCCUAAUGGCAGGCAUGCAAAAGAAAAAAAAAUGUAUGUAAUGAUUCUUAUUUCUUUAUUGCCCACAGGGGGCUAAACAUAGAGGGUUCAAACAAUGACAUACAAAGGGAUUAAGUUGAUUACAUCGACCCCAGUGCUUAACUGGUACUUAUUUAAUCGACCCUGAAGGGAUGAAAGGCAAAGUCGACCUCGGUGGAAUUUAAACUCAGAACAUAACAGCAGAUGAAAUACCGCUAAGCAUUUUUCUCAGUGUGCUAACAAUUCUGCCAGCUUGCUGCCCUAAUGUAUGGAAUGAUAUAAGCAUAAUAAUGAUAAUCACAUCGUCCAAAAAUAAGUUACUGUUUAAAUGUGUUUGUUGUUCAAGAAAUGUAUUUAAGACCAUUUGCAAUAUUUGUCCUUAAAUUGAUUGUCAAAUCACAGAUUUAUUCAUAAAAUUUAGGAUAUCUUUCAAAACUUGAAGGACUGAUUCUAUGUUUUGUUCGCUGUCAGUAUUUGCACCAUCUAACACUUGUUAGCACUCAUGCUAUCAAGCCAUGUACACAAGCCAUUAUCCUGAGAUUCUCAAACAUUAUCAGAUAAACCAUUCUGGGACAUCUUUUCAAGUAAACAGUUCUUAAUACCUAACUGUUAUCCUUCUUUAUUCUUCAUUCCCAUUACUUCAGCCCAGCCAGAUUGUCCUGAAAUGUGUAUGAAGAACAGUCUUAGAUUGUUGACAUAAGCAUCAUCUAUAUGGUGGAGGCACAUGGCUUAGUGGUUAGAGUGUUGGACUCAUGAUUGUAAGAUUGUGGUUUCACUUCCUGGACCAGGUGACACAUUGUGUUCUAGAUUUCACGUUGCUGCAGUCCACUCAGCUGGCAAAAAUGAGUAAUCCUGUGAUGAACUAGCAUCCUAUCCAGGUGGGGAAUUUAUAUACCAUAGAGACCAGGAAACUGACCCUUAUAAGUCGGUAUGACUUUUAAUUUUACAUCAGCUGCAUGGUAAUUAACCUUACUUUAAUUUCUUUAGAUUGUGUGUGCACUUCAUGAGGCCAUUUUAGUUUUUUUCUAGCAUAAGUUGAAUAUAUUCUUAAGCAUCAUUCCACAUCUUCAGUAUAACCUGGGUGCAAUGUUUCUAAUUUCAACCAAUUUUUGUUUGUUUCUAUUGAGCUUUAAGCACCCAAUCCAUACUGUAAAGUGGUUGGGAUUUGGAAGAGUAGCUAGCUGUAAAAACCAUAUCAAAGCAGACAUUGAAACUUGAUGCAAUCCUUGGACACAUUAAUUCCGUUCAAACUAUCCAGCACAUGCCAGCAUGGAUCCUGGAUGUUAGAUGAUGAGCAGAGGAGGAGAAGGGGCCUCAGUGGAGCCACGGUGUACAUCAUACUGCACAGAUUAUAUUAUUAAGAUUCUCAAUCAAGGUGCCAGAAAAAUCACCUAUUACACAGGUUACCAACAUCAAUUAAUAACUUAUUUUUCAAUUACUGAAAUAGCCUUUCAACAAUAAAACAAUUCUUUCGAUUUUAUUAAAAUUCCUUUUUUUAUAUAUCAUAUGAAAUGUUAGCAUUGUUUUUCUCUUGUUUUAUAUUUUCAUGUUUUGAAUUAUUCAUUUCUUCAAGAUAGAUGAGAAAAAAUUAUCAUCAUGACCAUGUUUAUCGAAAUCAAAAUUAUUAAUAAAUUCCAGCCCUAACAAUGCAUCACCAUGUGGUAUAUAUGAUCCCUUUACCUAAUUAAGUUUUAUAAUCAAAGGCUGUCAUCUGUAAGGCCCAGCUUAAAAUAGAGAAAAGAAAACAUUUUGGUUGUUGCCCUAUGAAUACAUUUUAAAGAACACUGGGGAGAUUAAUGAGUAAAAUUGUCAUGAACAAAGACACAAGCAAAUUCAAAGACAGAGAAACAUAGAAAUGAACCAAGAGGAUAGCAAAUGAUUUCCUGGAAAUGAUUUAUUCCACUUUGCAAGAUCAAAUACACAAUAGAGUUCAGUGAGGCAUUAGUGCUGAUAAAUAUAAGAUGUCACUUAUAACAGGAAAAACAAGAGAUAAACAUAGCUCAAGUUACAUUUAAAAUGAUGAUACGGUUGUGGAUAGAAGAUAAUCACACACAGAUGAGAAGCAUGAAAAACUUCGAAAUUUUGUAAUGAAAAUCCAACAAUUGAAAGAGACAGAAGAAAAUCAUACCAAUACCUGUUCAGUUAAGGUUGGCCUGAAACUAAAGAAGUCUAACGAUACAUGCUUUCAUUAAUUUCUAUCAGUCUAGGUUAUUAAAAAAACAAAAACAGAACCAGAAAAUAUAGUUGAAUAUUUUACCAGUUAAACAAUUUUUUUACAUUGGAAAUUGAAUAAAAAUUUUAGUGCUCAAUAUUUUUUUUUUUUUUUUACAUAAUUUCAACAUUUUUGUUGGCAAUGAAAGAAAGCUCUGUGUGAAAAAAAAAUUAAAUAAAAGAAGAUAAUCACACACAGAUGAAAAGCAUGAAAAACUUCGAAAUUUUAUAAUGAAAAUCCAACAAUUGAAAGAGACAGAAAAAAAUUAUACCAAUAGCUUAAUCAAAAUAAAAAAAAAACUUCCUAAAAUUCAUUUAAAGAAAAUGAUUAAAAUAGCCAUUAUUUUUUUUUUAUAAAAUAGAAGAAUGCUGAGAUAUAUAAAACAAUUUCAGAUAUUGACGGAAUGUUAUAAAUUUGUCACGUAAGUGUAUCAGCAUUUAAAUCUACCUUAACACAUGGCUGGCUUUAUUUUUAUUGAUUUCAAAGGGAUUGAAGGAAGUGUUUGCAUAAUCAGGAGGAAAACCCAGUCAACACUGAGGCUUUUCAGCCAAACAUCUGUAAUUUCCGUAUUUUAAGUCUUACCUUUCACCUUGUCUUCCUUUUGCCUGUAGAGCAUAAGCAUGUUGUAUCACACUUUAUAUAUAUGAAUAAACCAAUGUAUCUCCCAAUUUCUAUAGCUAGAAUGCUUAUAUCAGCAAAAGUUAAAUUGUAACACAAAAGGCCAUCUAAAAACUAUGAACUACUCAGUGGCUCAUAAAGGCAUUAAAUUUCUAGAAAUUUUGGAAAAUUGAUGGAUACCCACACAACAUUCAAUCACCUUAUACAUGUUCACAAUGUAAAAUACUGAGCAACCACAAGAAUACCAUAACUUGAUGAGAUUACCACAACCACCAUUCAAAAAGCUAGACAUAAGUGAGGCCCAAUCUAGACUCUCGUUAUGUCGAAUAUUUGUCAUAAAACUCUCUGAAGCCAAUAAUAUGCAUAUACUCUAUCUGUAACACAAACAUAUGUUGAAUUACAUAUGUUGCGCAUGAUUUUCACAUUUUUUAUUAUUGUAUUUUUGAAAAGUUUUUUACAAUGUUGAAGAGUGUUAAACAUUAAAAAUUAUUUUGUAAUGUUCAUAAAGUUCAGUAAAUACUUU